rnacentral:rRNA from 1 species
ACGCCGUAAACGAUGUCUACUAGUCGUUGGGUCCCUUGAGGACUUAGUGACGCAGCUAACGCAAUAAGUAGACCGCCUGGGGAGUACGGCCGCAACGGUUAAAACUUCAAAUGAAUUGACCGGGGGCCCGCACAAGCGGUGGAGCAUGUGGUUUAAUUCGAUGCAACGCGAAGAACCUUACCUGGUCUUGACAUAUCUAGAAUCCUGCAGAGAUGCGGGAGUGCCUUCGGGAAUUAGAAUACAGGUGCUGCAUGGCUGUCGUCAGCUCGUGUCGUGAGAUGUUGGGUUAAGUCCCGCAACGAGCGCAACCCUUGUCCUUAGUUACCAGCGGUUUGGCCGGGAACUCUAAGGAUACUGCCAGUGACCAAACUGGAGGAAAGGCGGGGACGACGUCAAGUCAUCAUGGCCCUUACGACCAGGGCUACACACGUGCUACAAUGGUAGGUACAGAGGGCAGCUACACAGCGAUGUGAUGCGAAUCUCAAAAAGCCUAUCGUAGUCCAGAUUGGAGUCUGCAACUCGACUCCAUGAAGUAGGAAUCGCUAGU